ensembl:lncRNA
GUAAUUUAUACAUGCCAGGAAAAUUGUAAUGAAUAUUUUGUCAUGUAAAAUAAGCUGUAUACGAUCUCUUUGUCUUCGACAGCGCACUCAUUCACUUUAUGGGCUCCUUAUGUUCAUUCUUCUGAUUAAAUGUUGCUCCUUGCUACGCCUAAAUGAAGCUAUGACCACGGCUGUAUCUACGGUGAUAGACGUCUUCUCCGGUCUGCUUUGGCCUCUGAUAACUGGUGUGAUCGUUGUUUUUGCUUACUCCUCCCUGGGGAACCUGAUCACCUUACCAAAAUCAGUAUCUUCUGUUAUCGCACAUGGGUUCGGCAUUGGAAAGCUUGGUGAUUUGCACAAAAAUCACCCUUCUUGGGUGCUUUGCAUCUACGGAGGCUUAAUCUGCAUAGUGUUUUUUGCGGUGAAAGCAAUGAUAAUUGGCGUACUCGGUUCAGUUGUGAAAAGGGCAAAAUAUAAAAGGAGAAAACAUCCUCUGUCUGCAUCCGAGCUCUGCACUUAUAUCCGGGAUGUGACUCUGGCGCUUGUUGGCAAAGGCAAGCAGAAAUGGACUGUUCAUACCACCAGUAAUAAUUUUGUCCUGGAAGAGUUUGAGGAUCUCGUUGAUGAGCUCCUGGUCAAGCUCAACGUCAUUUCCAGUAGCGAUGAAGACCAGGACAACUAUGAGGACCAGAAUACGCUUCAGUCAGCAUGUGACUACAGCUCAGAGGUUGGUGCUGAAAACAAAAUGGAGGAAAUGGAAAUAAUGCCAAGUACGUGUCGUGAAUUUUUACACCCUCAUGAGGAAAACAGUCUCAGG